AGCUUAAUGAGAUAUGUAUUAAGUUUCUUCUGCUCAAUGAGAAUAUUCNUNAAUCUUAAAUAGCCGCAGUAAUCUGACUGUGCUAAGGUAGCAUAAUAAAUUNGUCCAUUAAUUNGUGGUCUAGUAUGAAAGGAAUAAUAUGUAAUAUCUGUCUUUACUACUGUUAUAUGAACUUACUUAUUAGGUGCAAAUUCCUAUUUUUUUUUANUUGAAAGACGAGAAGACCCUUAGAAUUUUUAUAAUAUUAUUUUAGUUUAUAUAUAGGUUUUUGUUGGGGCGACACGUUAUCAAAGAUAACAUAACCAAGGAAAANUUUUACAAGUCCAUACUGUUAGGUGAGAAUAUAAUUACCUGAGGGAUAACAGCAUAAUAUUUUUAAAUGAUUAUGACCUCGAUGUUGGAUUAGGAUAGAUACAGGCAAGCAGUCUGUCUUACUAAGUUCUGUUCGAACAANUNUAUNCUCCU
rnacentral:rRNA from 1 species